GGCGUUAAGCCAGUUCGGAUGCCCCCCUUCCCGCCCCCGCUCCAGGCGCAAAGGCCUACGGCGGCCCCCACGUGGUACCAAGUUUUUAUUUGGAGGCUGUUCUGACCAAGGGAUUCUGGGUGUUGCCUUAUUUGGGUGAGAAAAUUAAAAUAAGAAGGGGUUAAAAGUGGCUGGAUGUAGGAGAGCAGGUUUUAGAUGCGUGUCUGGAGAAAAGCGCUGCGCCGCACGAAAGUGAACUGCCAGGGGCACUGCUCCACCGGGGCGCUUCUGGACUCCUAACUGAGGCUGAGCAGAAGAAAAGGAGGUCUGAGGUGCCUCUCCAGAGGAAGUCAUGCCGGAUUUGAGUGGUUGAAGAGCAGGAGGUGUUAGCAAUGAAGAAAUGGAGGAAGAGCUAUCUGAAACGGCCUCAAUGAAAGCCCAGAGGUAAAAGAUGCAACUGGGUGGGGUUUGGUAUGGCUGGGUUUGAUACCAAAUAGGUGUACCAAAUAGGUGUAACUGAAACUUUGCUCUGCUUCUGAGGAGACUCUGUCUUGCUUUCUCUAAACCUCAGAUUUCUCCUCCGCAAAAUGGGCACAGCAAUAACAUGCAAGACAUGGGACUGUUAUGAUUCGGUGCAUUGGGGCAAGUCAAACACCUGAUUCAUUGCAGACAUUCAGGUAAGUGUUUGUAAUUAUCAUCACCGGAAGGUGAGGCAUCU
rnacentral:lncRNA from 1 species